rnacentral:rRNA from 1 species
UGAGGAAUAUUGCACAAUGGGCGCAAGCCUGAUGCAGCGACGCCGCGUGUGGGCUGAAGGGGCUACGCCUCGUAAACCACUGUAGCCCGGGACGAAAAACGCCUUAGAGGCGUUAGACGGUACCGGGAAAGUAAGGGUCGGCUAACUACGUGCCAGCAGCCGCGGUAAUACGUAGGACCCAAGCGUUGGCCGGAUUUACUGGGUGUAAAGGGAGCGCAGGCGGAUGGGGAAGUCAUGGGUGAAAGUCUGCAGCUUAACUGUAGAAUUGCCUUUGAUACAGCUCAUCUUGAGUGUGGGAGAGGUUGAUGGAAUUCCAGGUUUAGCAGUGAAAUGCGUAGAUAUCUGGAAGAACACCAGUGGCGAAGGCGGUCAACUGGCCCAUAACUGACGCUCAUGCACGAAAGCGUGGGGAGCAAACA